UAACUAUAACGGUCCUAAGGUAGCGAAAUUCCUUGUCGGGUAAGUUCCGACCCGCAUGAAAGGCGUAAUGAUUUGGGCGCUGUCUCAACAAUAGACUCGGUGAAAUUUAAAUUCCAGUGAAGAUGCUGGGUACCCGCGACAGGACGGAAAGACCCCGUGGAGCUUUACUGUAGCUUGAUAUUGAAUGUUUGUGCUGCAUGUGCAGGAUAGGUAGGAGACUUUGAAGUCGGAACGCUAGUUUCGAUUGAGUCACCCUUGAGAUACUACCUCUGUUGUAUGAACGUUCUAACUCUGAUCAGUUAUCCUGAUCGAAGACAGUGUCUGGCAGGCAGUUUGACUGGGGCGGUCGCCUCCUAAAAGAUAACGGAGGCGCUCAAAGGUUUGCUCAGAAUGGUUGGAAAUCAUUCGUAGCGUGUAAAGGCAUAAGCAAGCUUGACUGUGAGACUGACAAGUCGAGCAGGUACGAAAGUAGGACUUAGUGAUCCGGUGGUUCCGUAUGGAAGGGCCAUCGCUCAACGGACAAAAGCUACCCCGGGGAUAACAGGCUCAUCUCCCCCAAGAGUCCACAUCGACGGGGAGGUUUGGCACCUCGAUGUCGGCUCAUCGCAUCCUGGGGCUGUAGUCGGUCCCAAGGGUUGGGCUGUUCGCCCAUUAAAGCGGUACGCGAGCUGGGUUCAGAACGUCGUGAGACAGUUCGGUCCCUAUCCGUCGUGGGCGCAGGAAAUUUGAGAGGAUCUGUCCUUAGUACGAGAGGACCGGGAUGGACAUACCUCUGGUGUACCAGUUGUUCUGCCAAGAGCACCGCUGGGUAGCUACGUAUGGAUUAGAUAAUCGCUGAAAGCAUCUAAGUGAGAAACUAACCUCGAGAUGAGAUUUCCCAUUCGUCAGAAGUAAGACCCCUGAGAGACGAUCAGGUAGAUAGGCUAGAAGUGGAAGUGUAGUGAUGCAUGGAGCGGACUAGUACUAAUAGGUCGAGGACUUAACCAAG
rnacentral:rRNA from 1 species